rnacentral:ncRNA from 1 species
AAAAAGGUUCUUUUCAGAACCACUAAAACUUUUCAAAAAGAAGUUU